rnacentral:rRNA from 1 species
CCUACGGGAGGCAGCAGUAAGGAAUAUUGGACAAUGCUCGCAAGAGUGAUCCAGCCAUGCCGCGUGCAGGAAGAAUGCCCUAUGGGUAGUAAACUGCUUUUGAACUAGAGAAAACCCCAGUACGUGUACUGGGCUGAUAGUAUAGUUAGAAUAAGCAUCGGCUAACUUCGUGCCAGCAGCCGCGGUAAGACGAAGGAUGCAAGCGUUAUCCGGAUUCAUUGGGUUUAAAGGGAGCGUAGGUGGACUGAUAAGUCAGUGGUGAAAUCUCCGAGCUUAACUCGGAAAUUGCCAUUGAUACUGUUGGUCUUGAGUACAGUUGCUGUGGGCGGAAUAUGACAUGUAGUGGUGAAAUACAUAGAGAUGUCAUAGAACACCGAUUGCGAAGGCAGCUCACAAAGCUGUAACUGACACUGAGGCUCGAAAGUGGCGGGAGUACAACAGAGUAGUAUACCUACGUAGUACGCACCGUAACGAAUAGUAUUACUCGUCUGCGUAGGGGUACGGAACCGUUACGUUAGGUCGUUAGUACGAAACGACGA